rnacentral:rRNA from 1 species
AUUGAACGCUGGCGGCAGGCCUAACACAUGCAAGUCGAACGAGUGGCGGACGGGUGAGUAAUGUCUGGGAAACUGCCCAGUGGCGGGGGAUAACUACUCGAAACGGUAGCUAAUACCGCAUACCAUCAGAUGUGCCCAGAUGGGAUUAGAUUGUUGGUGGGGUAACGGCUCACCAAGGCGACGAUCCCUAGCUGGGCUGAGAGGAUGACCAGCCACACUGGGACUGGGACACGGUCCAGACUCCUACGGGAGGCAGCAGGGGGGAAUAUUGCACAAUGGGCGCAAGCCUGAUGCAGCCAUGCCGCGUGUAGGAAGAAGGCCUUCGGGUUGUAAAGUACUUUUGGCAGGGAAGCGGUACCCGCAGAAGAAGCACCGGCUAACUCCGUGCCAGCAGCCGCGGUAAUAC